rnacentral:rRNA from 1 species
GACGAACGCUGGCGGCGUGCUUAACACAUGCAAGUCGAACGGAAAGGCCCUGCUUUUGUGGGGUUCUCGAGUGGCGAACGCGUGAGUAACACGUGUGUAACCUGCCCUUGUCUUUGUGAUAACAUCAGGAAACUGGGGCUCAUACCGGAUAGGAGCUCCUGCUGCAUGGUGGUGGUUGGAAAGUUUCGGCGGUUGUGGAUGGACUCGCGGCUUAUCAGCUUGUUGGUGUGGUAGUGGCUUACCAAGGCUAUGACGGGUAGCCUGCAUGAGAGGGUGACCGGGCACAUGGCGACUGCGAUACGGCCCAGAAGCCUACGGGAGGCAGCAGUGGAGAAUCUUGCACAAUGGGGCGAAGCCUGAUGUAGCAACGCCGCGUGCGGGAUGACGGCCUUCGGGUUGUAAACCGAUUUGGACUGUGACGAAGCGUGCGUGACGGUAAUGGGUCAAGAAGCAACGGCUAACUACGUG